UACGUAGGGUGCAAGCGUUAAUCGGAAUUACUGGGCGUAAAGCGUGCGCAGGCGGUUUUGUAAGUCUGUCGUGAAAUCCCCGGGCUCAACCUGGGAAUUGCGAUGGAGACUGCAAGGCUAGAAUCUGGCAGAGGGGGGUAGAAUUCCACGUGUAGCAGUGAAAUGCGUAGAGAUGUGGAGGAACACCGAUGGCGAAGGCAGCCCCCUGGGUCAAGAUUGACGCUCAUGCACGAAAGCGUGGGGAGCAACCAGG
rnacentral:rRNA from 1 species